UUAAGGCAUACAAAGUUAACAACUUGCAUAUUUGAAGGAUUUGAAGACUUCAACUUUCAUACUUGGAGGAUUUGAAGAUUUCUACC
rnacentral:pre_miRNA from 1 species